rnacentral:rRNA from 1 species
CCUACGGGAGGCAGCAGUGGGGAAUAUUGCACAAUGGGGGAAACCCUGAUGCAGCGACGCCGCGUGAGUGAAGAAGUAAUUCGUGAUGUAAAGCUCUAUCAGCAGGGAAGAAAAUGACGGUACCUGAGUAAGAAGCACCGGCUAACUACGUGCCAGCAGCCGCGGUAAUACGUAGGGGGCAAGCGUUAUCCGGAUUUACUGGGUGUAAAGGGAGCGUAGACGGAAGUGCAAGUCUGGAGGGAAAGGCGGGGGCUCAACCCACGGACUGCUCUGGAAACUGUUCGGCUCGAGUGCAGGAGAGGUAAGUGGAAUUCCUAGUGUAGCGGUGAAAGGCGUAGAUAUUAGGAGGAACACCAGUGGCGAAGGCAGCUUACUGGACUGUAACUGACGUUGAGGCUCGAAAGCGUGGGGAGCAAACAGGAUUAGAUACCCCAGUAGUC